rnacentral:snRNA from 1 species
AUUCUUAAAAGAACACUCUCCUGAGAAAUUAAAUAGAUUUUGGGGACUAAGAGUUGGAAUAGGAGCUUGCUCUGUCCACUCUAUGCAUCAACGUGGUAUUACAGUACUUCCAGUAAUGGUGCACCCCCU